GGGACCUCGUCGUGGAAGCGCGAGCGCGGGACCUUCGGGAGCGCAGGGAACGCUGGGAGUCGGGAGGUGACGGCCCCGAGCGUGCGAAAGCCGCCGGCUACUGAGAAAUCCCCCUCCUCCAGGGUGUUCUUGGGCGCGUAGCUUAAAGUUCAGGAGCGGGUGGGAGGGUGCGGUGACGUCUAGAGGGCCGGCCGCCCGCGAGCACUUGGGGGCGGGCCGGGCGGCGAAGUGGGGCCCGUCCUCCCAGGCUGGGGUAAGGACAGCUGGGGUUUUCGUUGGGUGGUUCCCCCUCUUCCUGAUUUCGCACAUGCAAAUCUCCGCCCCCGCGCCGGCGGGCGGCGCCGCGCGGGCGUCCCGGAGCGCCCUCGAGGGGAAGUGCGGAAGCUGCAGCGGCCGCUGCGCGCCUGUAAUUAAGAAACUUGCUGAACCCUUUUUUCAAAGAUCCAGUCCACAUCCGAAAAGUGAAAAUAUUUCACUUGUGCAGGAUAAACUUAAUUAGAAAAAAAUGAAGAUUACAAGACAAGGUGAUGGAUGGACUAAAAACAACAACAAAUGGGGGAAGACCUGCAGCUCCGUGUCUGGGUGCUGACUGUGUCUCCGUGCCUCAGGGUGGUGGAGAGGACAAGGCUGUCUGGUGGAGAGAAGGCUGGAGGACCCGGUGUGCUGAUGGCUGACAGCAAGAGUGGCCUUCGAGGACAUGCCUCUGAGGGCCUGUGAAGCAGAAAUCAGCGGCUGCUUGUCCAGAUCUAAAGGUGUUUCCUGCGGGCCAGUUUGGCCUUGGUUGCAGGUACCUCUGCGGACCACAACGCUGAACCGAGACACCACCUCCGGACACGCACAUGGGGCCGGCUCUUCAGCUACACAUCAAACACCAAGUCUGCUGCCCAUGCUGGUUGCCGAGUGAGGUAAUGUGAGUUAAACCCCUUAGUUUGGUGCACAGAGAAAAUGUCAACAAAUGCUAGCUAUCUUUAUCUUCAUUAUCUAAAGUGUGUGGAUCCCUUUUCAUUUAAGCUCAUAAGAUACCUGCUUGGAAAGGCCCAUCUUGGUUGUUUCAUCUUGAAUUCUCUAUCCCCUCAACUUUCCUGCAAAGCCCAGGAGGGACCAUUCACAUUCAUGAGGGUUGUUCUAAGCCAGUGGCUCUUAAAAUGUGGUGGUGA